CCACAUGGGCACAAUGUGUGAAGCCCAUUUCUGGUGUCCCCUCCCUUGAUAUUGCUGGAAUAUUGCUAAAAGCGGAGUAAAACUAAACUCAGUGUCAGUCAGUCCUUUCAUAUUUUAACACUGUGAAAUCUUAUCCCAAUAAUAUUUUUUAUAACCACACAAAUAUUUAUAUUACGCUUAUUGCUUUGAAAGCAGUUGACAUGUGAAUAAUGUGUUUGUACAUAUAGAUACUACCAUUCUACUAUAGGUGUUGUACUUGGUGUUAAUCUCAAGUUAAUAGUUUAGCAAUCAUGUGUAAUAAUAAAUGGUUGUAGGAAAUUAUCAUAUUUGCAAGAUAGAAAAUAUGAAAUUGAAUUGUUUAUUAUUUCUUGUUUUAGAAUUUUCUGGUACUAAUAUGACCAGACACUGUAGGGCGAGCAGAUAGAGUGUCAGCUUGUCACCCAUCUGGUUGGGUUUGAACCCAGCUUGAGUCGUGUUGGGCACAAUAGUUGAAGCUUAUUUCUGGUGUCUGUUUCUGAGUUUGAAUUCCAUUUUGGCACAACACUGAUGCUUAUGUUUGGUACCUUUGUGUCUGAGUUUGGUUCCCAUGUUGGCACAACAAUGUGAAGCAUAUUUCUAAUCCCACUGUCUCUGGGUUUUAACAGGUGUGUCUGUGUCUGGGUUUGAAUCGCACUUGGGCACAUGUGAGGCUUCCUUCAGGUGUGUCUGGGUUUGAAUCCCACUUGGGCACAUAUGAGGCUUCCUUCAGGUGUGUCUGUGUCAGGGUUUGAAUCCCACUUGGGCACAUAUGAGGCUUCCUUCAGGUGUGUCUGUGUCUGGGUUUGAAUCCCACUUGGGCACAUAUGAGGCUUCCUUCAGGUGUGUCUGUGUCAGGGUUUGAAUCCCACUUGGGCACAUAUGAGGCUUCCUUCAGGUGUGUCUGGGUUUGAAUCCCACUUGGGCACAUAUGAGGCUUCCUUCAGGUGUGUCUGUGUCAGGGUUUGAAUCCCACUUGGGCACAUAUGAGGCUUCCUUCAGGUGUGUCUGGGUUUGAAUCCCACUUGGGCACAUAUGAGGCUUCCUUCAGGUGUGUCUGUGUCUGGGUUUGAAUCCCACUUGGGCACAUAUGAGGCUUCCUUCAGGUGUGUCUGUGUCAGGGUUUGAAUCCCACUUGGGCACAUAUGAGGCUUCCUUCAGGUGUGUCUGUGUCUGGGUUUGAAUCCCACUUGGGCACAUAUGAGGCUUCCUUCAGGUGUGUCUGUGUCUGGGUUUGAAUCCCACUUGGGCACAUAUGAGGCUUCCUUCAGGUGUGUCUGUGUCUGGGUUUGAAUCCCACUUGGGCACAUAUGAGGCUUCCUUCAGGUGUGUCUGUGUCAGGGGUUUGAAUCCCACUUGGGCACAUAUGAGGCUUCCUUCAGGUGUGUGUGUGUCUGGGUUUGAAUCCCACUUGGGCACAUAUGAGGCUUCCUUCAGGUGUGUCUGUGUCAGGGUUUGAAUCCCACUUGGGCACAUAUGAGGCUUCCUUCAGGUGUGUCUGGGUUUGAAUCCCACUUGGGCACAUAUGAGGCUUCCUUCAGGCAUUUCUGUGUCUGGGUUUGAAUCCCAUUAACAACCUUGAGGUUUAUUUGUGUUAUUUCCGUUCAGAUGUCCCCAUCCCCCUUUUUUCAAAUUAAAAUUUUAAAAACAUGUUUCACAAUCGUCUUGAAGUGUUCAAAAUUAGAAUGAUAGUUCACACAUAGUGUGGUUGACAAACUGGAUGUUCCUUACUUAUACUAUUCACACUUUGCUAAGGAUCAAAUCAUGGAUUCAACAGAAAACUAUGGUGUGGGGUCAAAUUUGGUUUAAAUAUCUAAGCUUAUUGUAAGCAUGGAUCCUAGGUUUCAGUA